rnacentral:sRNA from 1 species
GUCGUCACGACCAUGUGACGGAAAGAGCCCGAAAUUUACGGGUUCCCAAACUGUUAAGGAAGAAAUCGAUG